rnacentral:lncRNA from 1 species
CUACCCCUUGCAGGUUUUUCCCAUUUUUUGUUUCCUUUAACAGUAACACACCUCACAAUUGAGAGAUUGAGGAACGCACAACAAAUACAUAUAUAUACACAGACACACGUAUACUCCUCCUUGGCCAUCAAUAUACACAACAAUAUAAUGAUUACACUGAAGAGAGGAUUUUUCCAUUUUUAGACAAUAUAUUCACACACUUCCAUACAUACUCGGAUAUACUUGAUUGUAUAGAGAGAUCCCUCCAUUUUCUCGCAAUACACACACAUAGAUUGACACACACUCACAGCUUCAUAUAGACUUCAUUCACGCAUACACAACACACCCAACAAUAUAUACACAGCACACUCACUGGGAUGCAGUCUACAAUCACAAUUUUCACUCACACACAAUAAUCACAAGAAAUCACACCCAGAGUAAAUCAGGGAGUGAACAGAACUGAGGGAGAAAUGGGAGAAAACCAAUAAGAAAAACACGGGUGAAGGAGAGAAAUAGUGAAGAGAGAUCUGUUUCGGUGACCCGAGCUCUCCAGAGCUCUGACAACUAGAAAACAGUAGCCUUUAGCUCCACCGUCAUCAAAACCAUCAAAAAACACCGCUAACGGCCAACCAGCAAACCACCGCCAAAAUAAAAAUCAGUGAAAAAAAAUUGAAUUAGGACCAAAAGAAGAUUGGGGCCAGAGUUAUCAGUUUGGGAAGUUUGUGAUUGAGGUUCGAUGUUGAUGUUUCAUUUGGAUUGAGGUUAAGUUGCUUCGUGAGUUCCGAUUCAUCGCUGGUUGUUUGAAAUAACAUCAUUGAUUAAGGUCCAAUUCUAUAUCUCUUAUCUCUAUUUUUGUGAAUGUUUUCGAAUAGUGAUGAUAUCUAUGUGAUUUUGUUUGAAGCAAUUUAAUUAUCAUUAUCUAAUUAUUAAUUUUUUGUUGAAGUCAUGUUAAUCACUAUAAGUGAGAAUCCAAAUUGAUUUGGGAUUUAAUUUGAUUUGGGGUGGAAAUUGAAAAUCUGAUAAAAGGCGACCAUUGGUUUAUGUGGAUUCAUUGAUGAAUGUUUGAUUUUGAAUAAUUGUCCAUCAUAUCAACCUCGAUAGUAUUAUGUUUUAAGUCAAGAAUGAAUAAGCAAAUUUUAUGCUGGGUAGGCAAAAAUUAGGACUUGUGGAUUGUUGAAUGCUGAAAAUGUUUGUUGAAUGAUUUUGUUUUAUGCAUUUGGAUAAAUUGUACUCAUUUGGCCGGGGAAUGCCUCGAGGUUAUUUGAAUUAUUUUAUUUGGAGAAUUCCCUGAGAAAGUUGUAUUCGAAGACAAUGCGAGAUCAAGGCCGGAGGCAUUCGGUGGAGCAGCGUUUAGGAUUAAUGUAGGUUAGCGUAGGUUUACAUUUCAAUACCUUUUUUAUUUUGGUUUGUAAUAAAUUGGACUGGACACUAUUUUUUUAUUUUUUUUGUUUGAUUGUUUGUUUUCUUGUUGUUUGUUUUGUUUGGUUUAUACAUUUUAUAGUGUCAUACUAGCCGUUAUACUCUACGGAGUGACCGUGAUCGAACCACGGGACUGAGGGAUGUCUAACACCUUCUCCUUGAUCAACAGAAUUCCUUAAUCAGAAUCUCUGUUCGUGGAUCAGUUUUAAAGAGUCAAAACAUUUUGAAAAAGAAUUUCCAACGGUGACUUGGCACACCAGAUUUAUGCCAAGUGGUAAAUCUGAGUUCAAAUGAAAAAGUAUCAUUUUCGAAAUAAAUUUUAUCUUUUGUCACUUAAUAACAAAAAUCCUUUCAAACUUAAAAUUUAUCUUUUUUGGUUAAAAGAAAGGGUGUGACAAUUAAUCUCUAACAUAAAAUUUUCCAUAAAAUAAUACUCCGUUAUGCUUCUAUUUCAAUUAGCAAAUAAGCAAUGUCCUGAUUAAUACUUAUAACUAGGGGUGUACAUAGGUCGGGUUGGUUUGAUUUUCUAUUGAAAAAAAACUAAAUCAAUUAUGUCGGUUUAUUAAAACUAUAAACCAAAUCAAACCAACAUAAAAUCAUUUUUUUCGGUUUAGAUUUUAGUCGGUUCUUUCGGUUUUUCUCAAUUUUUUUAUAAUAUUAUUUUUAACAAUUAUAUUGUGAUUGAAGUCUAGAUCAAGUAUGUUUUCACUCAUGCGCUAAUGAAAAACCACAAUUAUAAAAUUUGAGGAGCGAACAACUCUCUUGAAACUAAAAAAUAAGAUGAAGAGUAAAAAGCUUAGGUUUUAAGUUUAUAUUGGAUUUUGGAUCAUUUUAUUAGCAAUUAAUGGAUAAAUAUUACAACUUAAAGGCACAAAUAUG